rnacentral:lncRNA from 1 species
UCAACCAAAUCAAACGUUGAUGCUUUGAAAAAUCCUACAAAUGGACAAAACUUUAUUGAAAGGCAAAAUGAGGCAAAUAAAAUCAGAAAUGAAAGUGAGACAUUAUUAAAUACAAAGGGUUAUAUGGGCAGGUGUAGACAAUCAUAAGUUACCAAAGUGGAUGACCUACAGGAAAUGGACAGACUCCUGGAAACAUGUAGUCCACCAAAACGGACUCAGAAAAAAGUGGAAAAUUUGAAUAGAUCUAGAAAAGAACAGAAAUUGAGUUAGAAAUAAAAAAAAAACCUCUCAGUAAAGUACAGUCAAGUACCAAAUGGCCUCACUGGUGAAUUCUACCAAAUGUUUAAAGAAAAUUGACACCAUUUUUCAAGGAGGAGGAGGAGGGGAAGGAAUUAACUUAUCCUGUGAGGACUAUAUUACUCCGAUACCAAGGCCAGGCAAAGACUAUAAGAAAACCAGAGUCCAAUAUCCUUAAUAUGAAUGCAACAGUCAUUCACAAAACACUAGCAAAAUGUAACCAAGGCAAAUUAACAGGAUUAUGUACCGUAACAAGGGGGAUUUGUCAUAGGAAUGCAAGGGCAAGUCCACAUAAGAAAAUCAAUCAUGUAUUAGACCAUAUUAAUAGAACAGAGGAAAAAAGCCACAUAAUCAUCUCAGUUGCAAUGAUGAAAAAUAAAAGUGAUUUGACAUAAUCCAACACAGUUUCAUGAUGAAAAGACUUGGACAACUACAAACAGGAGGGAACUUCCCUGACCUGAUGAAGGGAAUUUAUGAUAAACUCUCAGCUAGCACACCCAGUGGCAAAGACUGAAAAUUCUCCCCCUGUGAUCAGGAAAAAGGCAAAGAUGCCCGUUUCCUACUAUUAUUCAAAUUGUACUGGGAGCCCUGACCAAGACAAUUAGGCAAGAAAAAAAAUCAAAAGCAUCCAGAUUGAAAAGGAAGAAGUCAAACUACCUCUAUUUUCAGAUGACACAUCCUAGAUACAGAAAAUCCUACAGAAUCUAACAACCAAAGCUCAUCAAUGAAUCCCAAAGUUUGGGGAUAAAAGAUCAACCCACAGAAAUCAGUUGUGACACAUUAGCAAUGAAUACUCUGAAUAGGAAGUCAUAAAGCAAUUUCAUUUACAAUAGUAUUCUAAAAGAAUAAAACACUUAGGAAUAAAUGUAACCACAGCCAUGAAACUAUAAAGCACUUAUGAAACAAACUGAAGACCUAAAUAAAUGGAAAGACCACCCCAUGUUUGUGUGUUAGAAAACUUAAUAUUGUUAAGAGGCAAUGCUACCUACAGUGAUCUACAGAUUUAACACAGUCCCUAUAAAAAUUCCAACAGCUUUUCUUGCAGAAAUGGAAAGGAUAAUCCUCCAAGUCACAGGGAAUUGUAAGGGGCUUCAAAUAGCCAAGACAGUAUUGAAAAAGAAGAAUUAAUUGGGAGAACUCACCUUUCUGACUUUCAAACUUACCUCAAAGCUAUGGUCCUCAAAAUGGCAUGGUAGAGGUAUAAGGAUAGACAUAUAGGUAAAUGGAAUUAAACCAGUACAUCUAUGGCUAAUUGAUUUUUGACAAGGAUGCCAAGACCAUUUAAUGGGGAAAGAACGGUGUUUUCAACAAUGGUGCUGGGAUAACCACAUGCAAAAAUGAAAUUGGAGGCCUACUUCAAAAAUCAGUUCAGAAUGGUCCAGUGACCUCCAUGAAAGUGCUAAGAGACUUGACCUUCUCAGGAGGAAAUACCAGGACACACUUUAGGACCUUGGAUUGGCAAUGGAGUGUUGGAUAUGACACCUGAAACUUGAGCAACUGAAGAGAAAAAUAAAUAAAUGGGACUUUAUAAAAACUAAAGACCUUUGUGUAUCCAAGGACUUUAUCAAAAAAGAAAAAAGACAACCCACAGACGGGGAGAAAAAAUUUUGCCAGUCACAGACAUUUCUCCAAAGAAAACAUACUAAUGUUCAAUAAGCACAUGGAAACAUAUUCAGCAUUAAUCAUUAGGGAAAUGUAAAUCAAAAUCACAGUGAGAGAGGAUUUCACAGCAACCAGGAUAAUAAGCAAGAAAAAAAACAAGUGUUGACAAGGAUGUUAGGAGAAUUGAACCAUGUGUAUUUCUGAGGGAAUGAAAACUCAUUUAGUCACUGGUAAAAGUUCAGUGGUUCCUCCAACAAAUGAACAGACUUAAGUUAGGUCUAGGCAAUUCCGCUCUGGGGUGUAGAUGCUGAAGAACUGCUCAGAGGUGUUUCUCAACACUCCCUGUGCACACAGGUUCACAGCAGCUCUAUUUGCAAUACCCCAAAUGUGGAGACAAUCCGAAUGUCCAUCAGCAGAAGAAAGGCUGGGCACAGUGUGGUGCAUGCAGAUAAUGGGCAUCUUCCCCCCAUUGAAAGGGAUGGCACCCUGAAGCAGGCUACAUGGGGCAGGAGCCUGGAAGGCCACCAGGUGGAAAAGGCCAAACACAGAGGUCACACAGAACUUGGCUUUAAUUCUAUAAAGUGUCCAGAAUAAGCAAAUCCACUGAGACAGAAAGCAGACCGUAGUGGCCAGAGUCGGGGGCCAGGGUGUGGAAUAGGAGAUAACUGAUUGAUGGACGUGGAGUUUCUUUUUAGAGAGAUGAAAAUAUUUUGGAACUCGAUAAAGGAUGUGGUUGCCAAUCAUCACGAAUGUUCUGAAAGUCAGUGAGUUGAAAACUUUAAAACGGUUACUUUUAUGUUAUGUGAGUUUUACCUCAUUUUUUAAAAAAAUGUAUACUUUACCAAGGUAUGAUUUUCAUGCAAUAAAAUUCAUCCAGGAUUUGAUAUUUAUGCACAGCCACGUAAUGACCACUUCAGUCAUGAUGUAGAGCACUCCCAUCACCCACAAAUUUCCUCCAUGCUCCUUCCCAGACGCACCACCAGCUAUAGCACCCACCCCACUGUCCACCGAUCUGCUUUCUCACUCCAUAAAUUGGUGUUCCCUGUUUGAGAACUCCUUAUGAGUCAAAUGAGUUCUUUUGUGGCUAACUUCUUUUACUCAACAUGCUUUUGAGGUUUGUCCAUUUUGUUCAGUGAUUUUUCUCCUUUUUACAUGCUGAACAGAUUCCCUGGUAUGACCCAGCCACGAUUUUUUUUUUUUUUACCCAGUUGUCCAUUGAAUUUUUAUUCCUGAAUUUUGACAAUUAUGAAUACAGCUGCUAUGAACAUCUGUGUCAAACUCCUGAUGUGUUCAUAUUUUCAUUUCAUGGCUAAAUAGCCACAAAUGGAAUUGUCAGGCAAUAAAGUAAGUGUGUGCUUAACUUUAUAUAUAUUUUAAAGCUUCAUGUUAUUUGCAGAGUUUGAGCUAUUUUUCACUCCCAUUUGUGGUAUCUUAGUAUCAGCUGUUCCACAACACGCCAAGUCUGGCUCCAAUCAGUCUUUUUAAUUUGGGACAACCUAAUAGGCAUAGUUUUCAUGUGCAAUUCUGUAAUGAAUGAUGUUGAACAUCUUUUUACAUUCAUUUGCCAUUUAUGUAUUUUCUUUAGUGAAAUGUCCACAUUUUUGGCUUAUUUUCCAACUGGGUUUUAGAAUUAUUGACUUGUGUUCUUGCCACAGCCCUUUAUUAAGUAGAGCUAUUUUCAAAUGUUUUCGCCCAGUCAAUAACUUAUUCUCUUGAAAGUCUUUCAAAGGGUCUGUUUUCUUGGUUUUAAUAAAAUCCAACUUAUCCGUAUCUUAUUUUUUCUAUUAUGUAUCAUGUUUUUGAUAACUUAAGAAACCUUUGCCUAGUACAAUGCCACAAAGAUUUUCUCCUAUGUUUUUCUGGUCUUCUGUGGUUUUAUAUUAUACACUGGCCUGUGAGCCAUUUGGAGUUAAUUCUUGUGCAGAGUACAGGGUACAGCUGGAGGCUGGAUCUCCCAGCCUCACGUCUUCUCCUGGGGAGACUUCUCUGUAUUCUGUCCUUGUAACAUGAUCUUGAAGUCCCUCCAAGGGUCACACUGGGAAGUCACAGGCUUUACCCCCUUGGUCUCAGAGUUUCUCUUCUUCCUUGCCUGAUGCCCAGUGCCCCUAAAGCCAUCGUUUCAUACAUGGUGUCCAUUUUUGUAGUUUCCAGCAUCGUGGUAAAUGUAAUCCCAACUCCGUCGUCGCCAGAAACAUCCCAGAUAUCUUUUGUAAUUUUUUUCUAAUUUAUUUUUGUUGUGACCAGAAAACAUAACCUGAAUUAUUUUGGUACUUUAAAAUUUGCAAAAAAAAAAAAAAAAGUUUAUGCCCUAUUAAAUGCGGGGUGUCUGGUGAAUGGUCUGUUUACUUGGAAAGCGUGUAUCCCCUGUGGUUGGGUGAAGGGUCUACACAUGCCAACAGGGUCAAGCUGCUCGAUCGUACUCUUCAUGCCUUCUUUCUUUCUUUUUUUGUUUUCAAACUGAGACACAAACUUGUUAUUAUUUAUGGACUACCGUGCAAUGCUUCAACACACAUACAGAUUACAUAAGGUUCAAAUCAGGGUAAGAACAUCCACCUUCGUCGACAUUUAUCUUUUGUUGUUGUUGUAAAAACAUUCAAAGUGUGAAAUAUGAUAGAUCAAGAACUAUGUUAUGUUUUGAACAGCCAACAAUAAAAAAUUAAAAAAAAAAUAACCCACUUGAAUCAAAGUGUGGAAUAUGAUAUGUCAAGAAAUUUGUAAUGUUUUGAAC